CUGAUGCACACGCCGCGUGAGUGAUGACGGCCUUCGGAUUGUAAGCUCUGUCUUUGGGGACGAUAAUGACGGUACCCAAGAGAGGAAGCCACGGCAUAACUACCCUGCCAACAACCGCGGUAAUACCUAGGUGGCAAGCGUUGUCCGGAUUUACUGGGCGUAAAGGGAGCGUAGGCGGACUUUUAAGUGGGAUGUGAAAUACUCAGGCUCAACCUGAGUGCUGCAUUCCAAACUGCAACCUCUAAAAUGCAGGAGGGGAAAGUGGAAUUCCUAGUGUAGCGAUGAAAUGCGUAUAUCUUAUGAAGAACACCGGUGGCGAAAGCGACUUUCUGGACUGUAACUGACGCUGACGCUCGAAAGCGUGGGGAGCGAACAAGAUUAGAUACCCUGGUAGUCCACGCCGUAAACAAUGAAUACUAGGCGUAGGGGUUGUCAUGACCUCUGUGCCGUCCACUAACGCAUUAACUAUUCCGCCUGGGGAGUAC
rnacentral:rRNA from 1 species